rnacentral:tRNA from 1 species
CGCGGAAUAGAGCAGUUGGUAGCUCAUUUGGCUCAUAACCAAGAGGUCGGUGGUUCGAUUCCACCUUCCGCAA